rnacentral:rRNA from 1 species
CAUGUCCUUUAGAUAUAAUUUAAGGUCUAAUCUGCUCAAUGAAAAUUAAAUAGCCGCAGUAUUUUGACUGUGCAAAGGUAGCAUAAUAAUUAGUUUCUUGAUUAGAAGCUGGAAUGAAUGAUUGGACAAGAAAAUUACUGUCUCUUUUUUAAGUUUAUUGAAUUUUAUUUUUAAGUGAAAAAGCUUAAAUUUAUAUAAAAGACGAGAAGACCCUAUAGAGUUUAAUAUUUUAAAGUAAUAAAAGUUUAGGAUAUUUUUUAUUUUUAUUUAUUUAGUUGGGGUGAUUAAAAGAUUUAAUUAAUUCUUUUAUAAUAUAAUUGAAAAUUUUCAAAAUUUAAAUCUGUAUAUAAUAAGUAUAAAAAAAAUUACCUUAGGGAUAACAGCGUAAUUUUUCUUUAAAGUUCUUAUUAAAAGGAAAGUUUGCGACCUCGAUGUUGGAUUAAAAUGAAUUUUUGGUGCAAUAACUAAAAAAUUAGGUCUGUUCGACCUUUAAAAUUUUACAUGAUCUGAGUUUAAACCGGCGUGAGCCAGGUUGGAUUCUAUCUUUAAAUAGUUAAAUAUAUUUUAGUACGAAAGGACCAGAUAUAUAUUAAAUUAAUUG